AAACUCUGCCUGCAGGGGAUGCGAGGAGAGCCGGCAGAGCCGCGGGCAGGCAGAGCUGUGCCCCGCUCCCCGGGCAGGGCUUUGCGCCGCUCCGCUGGGGGGCCGGAGCGCGGAGCUGCGGAGCCAGAGCGCGGAGCUGCGGGGCCAGAGCGCGGAGCUGUUGGGGCAGAGCGCGGAGCUGGGGCGCGGGCAAGGCGCGGAGCUGCGGGGCCAGAGCGCGGAGCUGGGGCGCGGGCAGAGCGCGGAGCUGGGGCGCGGGCAGGGCGCGGAGCUGCGGGGCCAGAGCGCGGAGCUGCGGGGCCAGAGCGCGGAGCUGGGGCGCGGGCAAGGCGCGGAGCUGCGGGGCCAGAGCGCGGAGCUGCGGGGCCACUGUGCGAGCGCCGCCUGCCCGCGCCUCUGCGGAGCGGGGGCAGCGAAGCGCAGCGGGGAUUGUGUCCCCCUCCCCUGUCCGGCUGAGUUCACUGAGUCACACCGCGGUUUUGUACCAAAACUUCUCAGCCUAAACAAACCAUCGCAAACCGAACAGCUUAAAAAAGUCUUCAUUAUUGUGGAAACCCAUGGCACCAGGAAUAUUUCUCUGUCUGCUCUCGGGUGCCCUGACCCCCAGGGGAACACUGACUUUGACCCGCAUUCAUGGAGAAAGUUUCCUAGACUUCAAGAUAGACUAGAAUCCACAAAAGUGUGAAAAAUAGAUUAUAGAGAGUAGUGUAGGUGUAUCACUUGGUGAGAAAUUCGGGGUUUGGGAUUUUUAGUAUGUUGUGGAUGGAAGCAAGAUGGAGGGCACAGGGUGUCAUCCUGGGUUUCUUCAUGCUGCUUCUUCCUUCUUCAUGGGUUUGGGUGGCAUUUUGUAACUGGGCAGAAAAGUCCGCAUUGCGGCUCUUUGGGAUCAGUUAUUGGGAAAAGGGAAAAUAAUCCAGGUGUCAGUUCUUAAUUGGAUAGUUUAGUCUUAAAAGACUUUGUAACAAGAGAUUGUUGGCCAUUUUGUGCCUUCUAAUGAAACGCUGCCAAACUCAGGUUGUGAGACUGUUUUGCUGAUAAGAAAUAAUAAACACCUGCGUCCAAACAUGCACUAACAUCUCAAGUGCCUUCAAUUCAGACCCAGAGAAACCCACAACUGGUACCACCACAAUUAUUUUUUCAGGAGCAUCUCUGUCUCAUUUCUUUGUGUCUGUUUUGCAAAAGUUCUGUUCUCACAGAUCAUCUCUAUUUUAACUAUUUUCCUUUCCAAUUUGGUAUAGUUUACAAGCACAAAAUCCUUUUUCUGUCACUGAAUAUUUGCCCGUUUGUGUUCAAGUGGAAGUAGGCAGAACUUCCGUGCAACGUGUUUUAACAUCAACCUGGACCUCAAGAUAAACACCACAGAACUUCAAAUACAGAUUAGAAACAGCUUACACAACACAGAGACACAACAGAGCUUUUAAGCAUUACAAUACUAUUUUCCAUUUAAAUAGCAAAUACACCCCCAAGUUCAACAUAAACAGGCCUAGCUACAGAAAUUACUUUAUCCUUAUUCAAGUGCAGCCAUCCUUAGUGCAUAGAAGUGCACAGUAAAGUGGAAUCUACAACACUUAGUAUUACCUUUUUUUUUCUGUUUACAGCGUGUCUUAUAAAAGGAAUAAUUUUCUUUUUCUCCUUCAAAAAAUUUUUUUGUAAUUCAAUGGACUGUUCUACUAUCUUGGUUCUUUUUUUCCUUCCACUUGCUAAUCAGUUUUUUAAAUUGUGCAGAUAAAUUUUAUAAUGAUUUUAUUAUUAUUAUUAGCACAAAUGUUGCUACAAAAAUGAAAAUGCACUGCUGGCAAGUCUUAUCUUGGUAUGAAAAUUCAGCCUGGUUUCUGAGGAUGCAAACCACAGAAUUACAUAAAAUGUUCGGAAAAGUGGACACAAAAAUAAGAUUUGUUCAAUUUACUUCAGAAUCAGGGUGAGAAAUCCUAGCUUUUCCUUAGCACUAGUGAAGAAAUACAGGCAUUUUCAAACCAUGCUUUGUCUCACCUACUUUAGAUGUCUGCUGUGGGAGAACACAUAUUGGAAUUUUAGAGUCAGUCUUCACCAACUGUAAAAGGGAUUCCUAAAUCGUGAGCAGAGAAUUAGAAACUUCCCUUUGCAAACAUCCCAUCAUCCUGGCUGGGGACCAGACAGACUUCUGCAAGUAACUGUUCCCAUCUGCAGGAUGGCAAAUUUACUUAGCAAGAGAGACUCUAAAUAAAACAAACAAAAAAAAAUCCCGAAGAAGGUAUCAAACACAUCUUGGUUGCAUCGUGGCUACAUCAGUAGCACCUGGAUCUGUGUUUAAUUCAUUGCAGAUGUGGAGAAGCACCAAGAUUUCCCAAGGAGCAGGACGAACUUUGCAUGAGAGCUUGCAAACAAGGUUAUUGUAUUUUCAUUGUGUCAAGAAGAAGAUUAGGGGCAUUUUCCCUGCAGAGAGAAAAGCAAGAACAAUCUGGUUUUCACCACCUGCUGCCGGUUGACUCUCAGUGAACAUCUGUGCUGCUUUCCAGACCUUGGAGCUCACCUCUAGAAAUUUCCCUCAUGUGGAACAGCUUUCCACACUUCUGCAUGUGAUGGGCACAGCCAGCACAUUCCAGCUGUCCUCACAGCAGGACCUCCCAGCAGCAUCCCUUGGGGACAGCUGCCAGCACCUUUCCACUUCUACAAAAUGCAAUUUGUGGACUUACACAAAAGUUACCCCAGGAUCUCCUGAACCCUUGUCCAGAGCUGGGACUUCUGUUGGCUUCUAAAAAUGGGCUUCAGAAAGCAACACUGCCAGCUCAACUGCUUGAGCAGCCGAAGAAAAUGUCCCCAGACCCUGCAUCUGAGUCUGUUCCCUCCAGCAUCCCAGGCAUGGCAGGUGCUCCCAUUUGCUUUUGGUAAGGAUUUUUAGUGUAUUAAUAAGAUGGGUGAAAUUACUCAGCUGCCCUGAGCAAUGUACUUGUCUCCCUGCCCUGCUCCUGGAAGAUGGCAUUUGGUGCAGUGGAGAAGAAGGUGUGUAGAAUAGUUAAGCUCAUAGGAUCUGAACUGUUCCCAACAUUAUAUUCAGGUCAAAGAAAUCCUCUCACCAGACAGAACAGCUGCUUGGACCAGGAGCUAUCCGCAUUUUCUGUGUUGAAAAUGCAAAGUUGGGACUGCAGUAAGCAGCCAGCUACAGCAGUAGUGUGCCUUGGUAGAAGUUUCCUUUGGUGUCCAUGAGCACAGCUUGGCUUUUGUUUUGCAUGAGACUUGAAAUCCUCUGAAACAGCCAACAGAUACUGAUUCACAGUGCUGAUGUUGUAAAAAUAAGACUUUCGCUUCCUAAAGAAUUAUGAGCUGAGCACAGUGACAAGUAUACACGUUUUGUCUUAGUACUGUAUCCAGCUUGGCCACUCAUCUGAAUAUCUGAUUCUGCAGAAGGAAAACCUCCUCUGGAAAAUGAUGUACAGAGUGCAGGGCUUACCUGAGGCAUAAAGAUGGAGAUGUGUGGCAGGGCUGCCUGACCCUGC